ensembl:lncRNA
GAGACUUUACGCAUGCGCACUGCAGAAAUCAUCUUCGGCGACGCCAUCGUCUACGUGUGAGUUCAUGAGUAGCGUUUUCUCAGAUUUUAUGCAGCUAAAAGCCCUUUCAAGUUAAAACAAAAUAAAUAAACAAAAAAUCCGCAUUAAGCAGAAAUUUAUUUCUUGGAGCUUUUCAUUCCUUAACUUUUCACUCAGAGAAACCAAAUCAUUAAAAAUGAAUGCUAUGAACAUUUUGCACUAUGUUAACACAACAUUUGCAGUUUUACUUAAAUGGAAGUUAGAUUCAUUCAUUGAGUUUAAGAAUAAAAAUUUACAUCUCAACUGAGCAGACAGGAUUAUAAUACCUAAAUAUAGAACUACAACAAUGUUGAUAGUAUCUGAGGCUGAUAUUACUGUAAUGGAAAGUACUUUAAAAUUUAAAGUAAACAACUGUAUUUACAGUACUAAAGUACUAUAAUAUCCUAUAUAGUAUAAAAUAACACAAUCCAGUACAUUUACUCAUUUGGUGGAUGCUUCUUCUUUCUUCUUAAUGCAAUUUCAACAUGCACAUGUAUGUAUAUUGUUUUUUUCCCCCUACUUAUUCUUCUUUGCACUAUUUGUAAUUUAUGUUUUUGUGUUCUACUUAUGUCCUGUUUAAAGUAUGUUUCUGGAAGGAUUCGCAGAGUAAAGAAUUUCAUUGUACUCUGUAACAGACCAUUUCCUUUACAUAUAGUGCCAUCCAUUAAUAUUAGCACCCUUAGUAAAUAUGAGCAAAGAAGGCUGCUCAUACACAAAGUAUACCAUAAUUUAAAGCUCAAAAGCAUUUGAAGGGAAUGACUUACAGUCACACAACCAACGGAAGUGUCCUCCUGGCCUUCAAUAAAGAAAGAUAUAAACAGAGCACAUCUAAUUGUCAGCCAAAAAAUGCUGUAAAGGAAUAUGCCACCUACUGUUUUGGGCUUCUUCUUAACAGCACCACCCUACAAGAAGCACUUAACCUCUUUCAGGAUAUGUCUAUGUUGUUCAUGUCAGCAAACAAUUCCAAUGGGGUUAUGGCAGCAAAAAACACACUGGACCAAAAAAUUCUGAAGUCCAAGCCUACUACUAUAGAUGAAACACUUCCACCAUAUGUAGAAGACAUGGAGAGGAGCAGCAACAUCAAGACAAUAUGUGUCAAAUCUCCCUUCACACAUUUAUUUAGUGGUGUUGUAGAGAAGACCAGGUGUACACAGAUAGAGAGUGGCAAAAAUAAUUAAUUCUACUGCACAGGGAUCAUUAAUGUCCUCAUGAGCAACUACAUGGGCAUUUUCCCCCUUUGGAGUGGCAUAUUGCUUGGGGACCUGAGCAGAUUCUGACCUGAGCAAUGGGCCAAGAGAUCCCUAUCUCAAAGACCAGCAAAGCAUCAUUCAAAGUAUUUUGAUCCACCAGAAGCAGUGCCCCAACCAAAAAGACACAAGAAAAAGCAAACAUCUGAGGAUCAUUCAGAGGACACAUCCAGAUCCAUGCUCUGUGGUCUAAGAAAGCAUGUGAGAUAGUCAUUGCCGUCACACAGUCAAAGGAAAAAAAAGGUCUUAUAUCCUGCAUCAUUCAGAGCUGAAAACACUCCAGCCACAUAAAUGGCUGGUGGGGGAGACAAUCCAAUGCUAUUUUGAAGUGGUGGUGAAUAACAGAGACCAGGGACACAGGAUUUUUAUACUAGAUCACUUUGAUGACUACGAAGGAAUGAUAAGUUUCCUGAAUGUCAACGGGAAUCAUUGGAUAUUUUUGUAUCUCCAUGCAGCAUCCAGCCAGGUGUUUGUUGUAGACCCAGCAGUACAUAAUGAAGACGCAAAAUCCAUGCAUGCAGCCACUAGAUUUCAGUAAUAUUUUUUGCUUGUUAUAUACUGUGCUUACAAAGAUGGGUUACAAAUUUAAAAAAAGCAUGAAUGCUUAGCCCCUAGUGUGAAGAGGCCCACUUCUUUUUGGUGUGUUUUCUUGUCACGGGGUAUUGAAUGGUGAAUGAUAUGCUGUGUUCUUUUCUAUCACCAGAUCUUUAGUAAAAUUAAACAAAAAUUAGAUUUUGGACCAAACUGUUUGUCAGUGCUCUCCAGUAUCAUCUUGAAAAUGUAAACAUUUUGAAAUAUAUUUUGAAAAAUGUAUGUUCUAUCCCUCCUGUUGGUGUUCCAGAGACUUGGCAUAGAUCUUGCAGAUCUCUGGAUCCUUAACGAUUAUUUUCGUAAGAAUAAAAUGACAGUCUUCGAGUCUUUUACAUUGUGUAAGUAUACUAGUCUUCUCAUAAGGUUUUUUUUUUAAUGCUGUCAAAUCCUUACAAUAAUUUUACUUAUUAACUUUUACUGUAAGUAGCAAGCAAUUCACAAUAAUUGUUAAGUGUAAAGUGAGUGAGAUAUGUAAAGACAAUAAUUAUACUACAUAUAAAAAUAUACUACAUAUAUAGGAAAUGAGUAGGCAAUAAUGUUUUAACACUUAAUGUUAUCCUGUCAAUCAUUUUGAUUCGCUUAACACACUUUUUUUCCCCCCACACAUUCAGUGUUUUAUGCACUAAAGCAAAAUGGAUAAUGUUGCCUUUCUAAUAAUAUAAUUAUAUUUAUAUGACCUGUAAAGAGAACGGAGAGCACAAUGCAGAACAUUCAUUUAAAUUGACUAACACAGUGGGUCUCUUAAAUAAAAAAGAUUCACAACAACAUUUAUUGUUUGGAGUUUGUACUAACAUUUGGUAAACAUAUGGUUGUAAAAAAGAACCUUAAAGUAGUUUAAAUAACACGAAUGUGUUUUUAUUGGUUUUGGGGCCUUUUUUGCUUUAUUUUGGUAGGGAUAGUAGAAAAUUGACAAGGCAAUAUAGGAUAGAAGUGUGGGGGUGUGAUCGGGAAAAUACCCUAUGAGCUGGGAAAUGAACCCUUCACUGUAGGAGAAAAGCAAUUGAUUUGUCAUCUUUCUCUACAUUUAGACUCAACAAAGAAUUAACAAAUAAAUAGGUCAUUUACAUGAAGAAUGUUCAUGAUUUUCUUUAUGUACACUGCCUAGACUCUAGACACGAACUAGAAAUUUUUAAUUAAAUGCUAUUCCUAAAUUAUCCGCUAGGGGCGCACUGAUUUAUUCAGAGUAGAAGACGCGACACAACCCUGGAUCUCAGACCGAACAGCAGAUGGUAGCAAUGCGCCUUCUGCUGUUUGUUAUUACACUGUGACCAUUUGUAA